rnacentral:lncRNA from 1 species
AGGGAGAUGAAGUAACGUGGACAUGUCAGAGCCAAGAUUCAAACUCAGGUUUUCUUCUUUCUAGUUUGGAUAUCAUGAUUCCCUCUCCCAACAUAAAUGCUUAUUGGAUUAUUUAUGAGUAUGCUCAUGCGAAUGGAGUGGUGAAUGGAAUUGAAGAUGGAUUAAUUAUUAAAGGUGGUGAAUUUGGAGGGAAAUCAUAGCACUUAGAAUCCUUCAGCAGCAUCAGAACAACUGAGCUUAAGCCCUACUUGGUAAGUAUAAUUACUUUAAAGAGGAAGCAACUAGAUGACAGGCUAGAGUGAACUCCCCUCCCUCACCUUUAUUCUGCACUGUGCUGAGACUAGGUUUAGCUGAUAUUUACUUGUUUUCUCUAGUUCUUCCAAAGUAGAAUGUAAGGUCUUCGGAAGCAGAAACUUUUUUUCAUUUUUGUUUGUCUCUUUGUUCCCAGAGCCUAAACCAAUGCCUUGUACAUAGUAGGCACUUAACAAUCGAAAUGUGAAUUUUUUGCACUUGCCCCAUGCAUAAAAUAUUUUAUUCAUGAUUCUGGGUUGGACAAAGCCAUCUGGAAUGAAUUAGAUUCAGGUGGACACAGCUAAAGCCCAGCCUUUACUUGUCUAGUAAUGUGUGUACACUGAGACCUGCUUUUAGUUAUAAACACAUUAUUAUAAUGAGAAAGUUGCAUAGGAAUAGGGUGAUUGGGACUGGCUUUCUCCACAUGUCCCCCUAUUUCCUAUAAACAUAUGAGGCCACCCAGGGUUAUACUGGGUUCCUAUGCUCAGCCCCCUACCUAGAACUAUCAUGAGAAGACAAAGCACAAUUUCAGACUGGAGCCAAGACAGUUAGCUAAUGAGGAAUAUGUGGUCCUAUAAGUAAAAAAAAAGAAAAAAAAGAGAAAAAAAGAGAAAAAAGUAUGCCUUGGCUUUUUAUUUCAUGGAUAGCGUCUUAAAUAAAGGUCGUAUUAUGAUGGAACUUCUAGCA